rnacentral:rRNA from 1 species
AUUAUACCAUCUGGUGGAUGGCUCGGCUCAAGCGCUGAUGAAGGACGUGCCAAGCUGCGAUAAGCCCCGGUGAGGUGCAUGGAACCUUAGACCCGGGGAUCUCCGAAUAGGACAUCCUGAUGUGCAAACAUCGAUCCGUAAGGAUUGGGAACGCCCUGGAUUGAAACAUCUUAGUAAGGGCAGGAAGAGAAACCAAUUGGGAUACCGUAAGUAACGGCGAGUGAAAGCGGCAGAGUCCAAACCGAAUCCUGUUGUGUGAGCAGCAGGAGAUGUGGGGUUGUAAGAUAUGUCGUAUGCAUUCCUCUCUGAUGAAGUUGAAGUCCCCUGGAAAGGGGCGCCACAGAGUGUGAUAGCCACGUAAAUGUAGAUCAGUGGAAUGUGAUAUAUUCUUGAGUACCGUGGGUUGGAAUUCCCGCGGGAAGCUGGGAGACACCAACUUCCAAGACUAAAUACAGCUUGAGACCGAUAGCGUAAUAGUAGGGUGACCAAAAGCUGAAAAGUACCCCAAGAAGGGAGGUGCAAAGUGUCUGAAAUCAGAUGGUGAUGGUGCGAUAUGGCUUCAAAGGAGCGAACUGAUCCGAAGGAAGAAACCGCGAGGUUUUUGUACGAGGAUUGGCGACCAGAGUCAUAUCAUACGUUUUGAAGAACGGGCCAGGGAGUGUAUUCGAGUGGCGAGGCUAAGACCUUGAAGGUCGAAGCCGAAGGGAAACCAACAGGCACGCAAACCCUUUGGGUUGAGGUGCGACGUAUACAAGUGCGUGGAGUCAUUAGGAUACGACCCGAAACCGGGCGAUCUAGGCGUGGGCAGGUUGAAGCGUGGCGAAAGCUGCGUGGAGGACCUAAGCGGUACUGAUGUGCAAAUCGUUCGUGUGACCUGCGUCUAGGGGUGAAAGUUCAAUCGAGCCCGGAGAUAGCUGGUUCCUUCCGAAACAUGCUAAAGCAUGACCCGAUUUGAGAUAGUUGGCGAGGUAGAGCACUGAUUGGGGAAUCCGGGGGGGAAACUCCUCGCUCUCUUGUCAAACUCCGAAUUCGCCAUCGUCUGAGAAGAUCGGAAGUCCGGGCUGGGGGGUAAGCUUCCAGUCCGUGAGGGAGACAACCCAGACCAGGGUUAAGGUCCUUAAGUGUCGGCUAAGUGUUAAUUAAAGGGUGUCCUAACCCCUAAACAGCUGGGAGGUGAGCUUAGAAGCAGCUAACCUCUAAGGAGUGCGUAACAGCUCACCAGCCGAGGUUUAGGGCCCCGAAAAUGGACGGGGCUCAAGCCGACCACCGAUACCCUGGGAUACCGCAAGGUAAUUCUGUAGGAAGGCGCUCUGCAUGGGUAGAAGCUGGGGCGUAAGUUCCAGUGGACCGUGUAGAGAUGAGAAUCCUGGCAAUAGUAGCAGCAUAGUCGGGUGAGAAUCCCGAUCGCCGAAAGGGCUAGGUUUCCUCGGCAAUGUUCGUCAGCCGAGGGUUAGUCGAUCCUAAGGUGUACCCUAAUCAGAGUACAUCAAAAAGGGAAACAGGUUAAUAUUCCUGUACCAUCCAACAUUAAACUGACGCUUCCGGGAAGGUUAAGCGGCGUUAUCGCGCCGUUCAAGCAGAAUGGGUCUGUGGAGUGCCGUAAUGGCGAGAAGCGGAGCAAGCUGUGAUGACGUAAGUUGACUGAUCCCAGGAGCCCGUGAAAAGGGAGUUGGAUGAUCGUACCGAGAUCCGACACAGGUGUCCCUAGCUGAAUAGGCUAAGGCGUGAUGGAGUAAUCUGGCUAAGGGAAAUCGGCAAAUUAGCUCCGUAACUUCGGGAGAAGGAGUGUCUGCUCUUGUGAGAGAGCAGAUCGCAGUGACCAGGGAGCUCUAACUGUUUAAUAAAAACAUAGGCGAUCGCAAACCCGUAAGGGCUAGUACGAUCGCUGAAUCCUGCCCAGUGCAGGUACCUCAAUCCCCGGUUCAACGGGAAGAAGGGCCUGUCAACGGCGGGGGUAACUAUGACCCUCUUAAGGUAGCGUAGUACCUUGCCGCUUAAUUGGCGGCUUGCAUGAAUGGAACAAUGAGAGCUCUACUGUCCCUAGCCAGAACCCGGUGAACUUUACAUUCCAGUGCAGAGUCUGGAGACCCCUAAUGGGAAGUGAAGACCCCGUGGAGCUUUACUGCAGCCUGUCGUUGGGUUGUGGUGUUAGAUGUGAAGGAUAGGUAGUAGGCAUCGAAGCGCAGGCGCCAGCUUGCGUGGAGCCGUCCUUGGGAUACUACCCCUCUAAUACUAUAACCCUCACUCGUUAAAGAGGACACCGAUUGGUGGGCAGUUUGGGUGGGGCGCCACGCCCUCGAAAAGGUAUCAAGGGCGCCCAAAGGUUGGCUCAAGUGGGUCAGAAAUCCACUGAAGAGUGCAAGAGCAAAAGCCAGCCUGAUGUGAUCCUGCACAACAAGGGAUCGCAAGCCGAAAGGCGGGUCUAGCGAACCUUUGUAUCCACUUGGUGUGGGACAAAGACGUCAGAAAAGCUACCCCGGGGAUAACAGUGUCGUCACCGGCAAGAGCACAUAUCGACCCGGUGGCUUGCUACCUCGAUGUCGGUUCUUUCCAUCCUGGCUGUGCAGCAGCAGCCAAGGGUGAGGUUGUUCGCCUAUUAAAGGAGAUCGUGAGCUGGGUUUAGACCGUCGUGAGACAGGUCGGUUACUAUCUGUUAGGGGUGUUUUGAGGUCUGAAGGUAAGUUGCUUUUAGUACGAGAGGAACAGAGCAACGGCGCCUCUGGUCGAUCGGUUGUCCGACAGGGCAUUGCCGAGCAGCUACGCGCUAAGGGAUAAGGGCUGAAAGCAUCUAAGCCCGAAACCCACCCUGAAAAUAGACCUCUUUAAGGGCAUGGAUAAAAGAUCCGUUUGAUAGAGUCGGGGUGUACGCACCAAGGCAACGAGGUGUUCAGCCUGCGACCACUAAUGUCCGUACCAGUUUG